GCUAUGUACUUUUUGCUUAAUUCGUAUUAACCUAAUAAAAACUGAUAAAAUAAAAAUUUAGUAAUUUUUUUUUAUAUGUAAUUAAUACGUUAAAUGCAGAUUAAAUAAUAUACAUUAAUGAUGGUUAAUGUAUACAACUAAUUAAAAUUACAACUACAAUUGAAAACAGAGUUUCCUUUCAUUGUAAGAGAUCAUUUUUCCGUUUUUGAAGACAUUUUUCUUGAUGAGCCACCAGAUUUCGAUGCUAUUGCUGACCAGAUUAUUUCUAUUCCCUUUUCAUGUUUUGCCGAAGAAAAAGGCAGUUUGGUUCAGAUGCUUCCUCAGGACGCUGUAGCUUUUAAAACAUAUAGAAUCCCACACGGACUCCUAAAUUCGGAUCUCUUUAAAAAAUCUGUUUAUUAAUGAUCGCAACUAGAGCAAAAGUACUGGAAACUAUUUGGAACACUUCAGGCCGUGAAAUCCUACGUGAAACUGCAAAAAAGAUUUUAUU